rnacentral:tRNA from 1 species
GGGGACGUAGCGCAAUGGUAGCGCGUCUGAUUCCAGUCCAGAAGGUUGGGCGUUCGAUUCGCCUCGUCCUCA